UACGGGGGGGGCGAGCGUUGUUCGGAAUUACUGGGCGUAAAGGGUUCGUAGGCGGCUCGCUAAGUCAGACGUGAAAUCCCUCAGCUCAACUGGGGAAUGGCGUCUGAGACUGGCAAGCUUGAGUGCAGGAGAGGAACGCGGAAUUCCAGGUGUAGCGGUGAAAUGCGUAGAUAUCUGGAGGAACACCGGUGGCGAAGGCGGCGUUCUGGACUGCAACUGACACCGAUGAACGAAAGCCAGGGGAGCAAACGGG
rnacentral:rRNA from 1 species